AUGAACGCUGGCGGCGUGCCUAAUACAUGCAAGUCGAGCGAACAGACGAGGAGCUUGCUCCUCUGACGUUAGCGGCGGACGGGUGAGUAACACGUGGAUAACCUACCUAUAAGACUGGGAUAACUUCGGGAAACCGGAGCUAAUACCGGAUAAUAUAUUGAACCGCAUGGUUCAAUAGUGAAAGACGGUUUUGCUGUCACUUAUAGAUGGAUCCGCGCCGCAUUAGCUAGUUGGUAAGGUAACGGCUUACCAAGGCAACGAUGCGUAGCCGACCUGAGAGGGUGAUCGGCCACACUGGAACUGAGACACGGUCCAGACUCCUACGGGAGGCAGCAGUAGGGAAUCUUCCGCAAUGGGCGAAAGCCUUACGGAGCAACGCCGCGUGAGUGAUGAAGGUCUUCGGAUCGUAAAACUCUGUUAUUAGGGAAGAACAAAUGUGUAAGUAACUAUGCACGUCUUGACGGUACCUAAUCAGAAAGCCACGGCUAACUACGUG
rnacentral:rRNA from 1 species